rnacentral:rRNA from 1 species
CCUACGGGAGGCAGCAGUGAGGAAUAUUGGACAAUGGGCGCAAGCCUGAUCCAGCCAUGCCGCGUGCAGGAUGACGGUCCUAUGGAUUGUAAACUGCUUUUGCACAGGAAGAAACAACGCUACGUGUAGCGUCUUGACGGUACUGUGAGAAUAAGGAUCGGCUAACUCCGUGCCAGCAGCCGCGGUAAUACGGAGGAUCCAAGCGUUAUCCGGAAUCAUUGGGUUUAAAGGGUCCGUAGGCGGUCUUAUAAGUCAGUGGUGAAAUCUCCCCGCUCAACGGGGAAACGGCCAUUGAUACUGUAAGACUUGAAUUAUUAGGAAGUAACUAGAAUAUGUAGUGUAGCGGUGAAAUGCUUAGAGAUUACAUGGAAUACCAAUUGCGAAGGCAGGUUACUACUAAUGGAUUGACGCUGAUGGACGAAAGCGUGGGUAGCGAACAGGAUUAGAUACCCUGGUAGUCCACGCCGUAAACGAUGGAUACUAGCUGUUGGGAGCAAUCUCAGUGGCUAAGCGAAAGUGAUAAGUAUCCCACCUGGGGAGUACGUUCGCAAGAAUGAAACUCAAAUGAAUUGACGG